CGUGUAGGCGGUUGGUCAAGUCUGGUGUGAAAGCCCGGGGCUCAGCUCCGGAAGUGCAUCGGAAACUAGCCGACUGGAGCGCGAUAGAGGAGGGUGGAAUUCCUGGUGUAGCGGUGAAAUGCGUAGAUAUCAGGAGGAACACCGGCGGCGAAGGCGGCCCUCUGGAUCGUUGCUGACGCUGAGACGCGAAAGCGUGGGGAGCAAACAGGAUUAGAUACCCUGGUAGUCCACGCUGUAAACUAUGGGUACUAGGUGUUCGGGAUGUUGACCCCCUGAGUGCCGCAGCUAACGCAUUAAGUACCCCGCCUGGGGACUACGGCCGCAAGGUUAAA
rnacentral:rRNA from 1 species